rnacentral:rRNA from 1 species
CGCGUAGGUGGUAGUGUAAGUCUGAGGUGGAAUCCUAUGGCUUAACCAUAGAACUGCCUUGGAUACUGUAUUACUUGAGUCAGUAAGGGGAGGGUAGAAUUCCUGGUGUAGCGGUGAAAUGCGUAGAUAUCAGGAGGAAGGCCUGUGGCGAAGGCGGCCCUCUGGUGCUGGACUGACACUGAGGCGCGAAAGCGUGGGGAGCAAACAGGAUUAGAUACCCUGGUAGUCCACGCCCUAAACGGUGGGCACUAGGUGUAGGGCUCGCAAGGGUUCUGUGCCGAAGGGAAACCAUUAAGUGCCCCGCCUGGGGAGUACGGCCGCAAGGUUGAA